AACCCUUGACAUCCUCGUCGCGGUUACCGGAGACGGUUUCCUUCAGUUCGGCUGGACGAGUGACAGGUGCUGCAUGGCUGUCGUCAGCUCGUGUCGUGAGAUGUUCGGUUAAGUCCGGCAACGAGCGCAACCCACACCCUUAGUUGCCAGCAGUCCGGCUGGGCACUCUAGGGGAACUGCCCGUGAUAAGCGGGAGGAAGGUGUGGAUGACGUCAAGUCCUCAUGGCCCUUACGGGUUGGGCUACACACGUGCUACAAUGGCAGUGACAAUGGGGUAAUCCCAAAAAACUGUCUCAGUUCGGAUUGUCGUCUGCAACUCGACGGCAUGAAGUCGGAAUCGCUAGUAAUCGCGUAACAGCAUGACGCGGUGAAUACGUUCCCGGGCCUUGUACACACCGCCCGUCACACCAUGGGAGUUGGGUUUACCCGAAGACGGUGCGCCAACCUCGGAGGCAGCCGGCCACGGUAAGCUCAGCGACUGGGGUGAAGUCGUAACAAGGUAACCAAGGGCGAA
rnacentral:rRNA from 1 species